GACGAACGCUGGCGGCGUGCUUAACACAUGCAAGUCGAACGGAAAGGCCUGCUUUCCCUUGUGGAUUGCGGGUACUCGAGUGGCGAACGGGUGAGUAACACGUGAGUGAUCUGCCCCCAACUUGGGUAUAAGCCUGGGAAACUGGGUCUAAUUCCCGAUAGGACUGCAGGGUGGUGCCUGUGGUGGAAAACGAUUUUCUAGUGGUUGGGGAUGAGCUCGCGGCCUAUCAGCUUGUUGGUGGGGUUAUGGCCUACCAAGGCGGCGACGGGUAGCCGGCCUGGGAGGGUGGACGGCCACAUUGGGACUGAGAUACGGCCCAGACUCCUACGGGAGGCAGCAGUGGGGAAUAUGGCACAAUGGGCGGAAGCCUGAUGCAGCGACGCCGCGUGGGGGAUGACGGCCUUCGGGUUGUAAACUCCUUUCGACCGCGAGGAAGCCACCUGGUUGGAAGGGUGGUGACGGUAGUGGUAGAAGAAGCACCGGCUAACUACGUG
rnacentral:rRNA from 1 species